rnacentral:pre_miRNA from 1 species
UUGGGUUAAAUCAAUGUAGGUCCCGCACUUUGAAAAUGGGUCCCACAUAAAGUAGUAGGACCUACAUUGAUUUCACCUAA